rnacentral:rRNA from 1 species
UACGUAGGGGGCUAGCGUUGUCCGGAAUCAUUGGGCGUAAAGCGCGUGUAGGCGGCCCGGUAAGUCCGCUGUGAAAGUCGGGGGCUCAACCCUCGGAUGCCGGUGGAUACUGUCGGGCUCGAGUACGGAAGAGGCGAGUGGAAUUCCUGGUGUAGCGGUGAAAUGCGCAGAUAUCAGGAGGAACACCAAUAGCGAAGGCAGCUCGCUGGGACGUAACUGACGCUGAGACGCGAAAGCGUGGGGAGCAAACAGG